rnacentral:rRNA from 1 species
GAUGAACGCUAGCGGCAGGCUUAACACAUGCAAGUCGAGGGGUAGAGGCUUUCGGGCCUUGAGACCGGCGCACGGGUGCGUAACGCGUAUGCAAUCUGCCUUGUACUGGGGGAUAGCCCAGAGAAAUUUGGAUUAAUACCCCAUAGUAUUUUCGGUUGGCAUCAACUGAUUAUUAAAGUUUUUCGGUACAAGAUGAGCAUGCGUCCCAUUAGCUAGUUGGUAUGGUAACGGCAUACCAAGGCUACGAUGGGUAGGGGUCCUGAGAGGGAGAUCCCCCACACUGGUACUGAGACACGGACCAGACUCCUAUGGGAGGCAGCAGUGAGGAAUAUUGGUCAAUGGUCGCAAGACUGAACCAGCCAUGCCGCGUGCAGGAUGAAGCAUCUAUGGUGUGUAAACUGCUUUUGUACGGGAAGAAACACUCCCUCGUGAGGGAGCUUGACGGUACCGUAAGAAUAAGGAUCGGCUAACUCCGUGCCAGCCGCCGCUGUAA